CCUACGGGAGGCUGCAGUGGGGAAUAUUGCACAAUGGGCGAAAGUCUGAUCCAGCGACGCCGCGUGAGUGAAGAAGUAAUUCGUUAUGUAAAGCUCUAUUAGCAGGGAAGAAAAUGACGGUACCUGAGUAAGAAGCCCCGGCUAACUACGUGCCAGCAGCCGAGGUACUACGUAGGGGGCAAGAGUUAUCCGGAUUUACUGGGCGUAAAGGGUGCGUAGACGGCAGUGCAAGUCUGGAGUGAAAGGCGGGGGUUCAACCCCCGGACUGCAUUGGAAACUGUACGGUUGGAGUGCAGGAGGGGUAAGUGGAAUUCCUAGUGUAGCGGUGAAAUGCGUAGAUAUUAGGAGGAACACCAGUGGAGAAGGCGGCUUACUGGACUGUAACUGACGUUGAGGCACGAAAGCGUGGGGAGCAAACAGGAUUAGAUACCCUAGUAGUC
rnacentral:rRNA from 1 species